rnacentral:lncRNA from 1 species
CUGCUUCAUAGCUGGAAGUCUUUACUGAGCACGGAGCUAAAGUGUGUACUGAGGAGCCAUCUACUGGCUGCAAUAGCUGAGAACAGCUCGCAGUGCUCUCCUUGAGCAGAGAAACACAGAGAAGUCACUGCAUGCUCUUCUCAAUGGCUGAGAAAAAUCUCCAUUAGACAUGUUAACAGGAACAAGGAGAAGCAUCACAUUGACAUGGAAUAAAGGGUUUCACGAUGAUUUUUUCUGUAACGUUUUCUGAAAAGUAUGUCAGAGCCUAAGCCAAGGAAGUGUGUGGAAUUUGUACCCAUGGAGACUCCAAUAACACAGUCAGCUCCAAACCCACAGAAUUAUUGGUGUUGUUACCUAACGUAUCAGGAACAGAGUUACUGGAAAAAGAGGAGAAAGAGAUUGAAAAGGAGUGAGAAUAUAAAUCAGAGAGGCUGAAUGUGGAAGGCUUGUGGAUUUGCAUCUGAUCUGCCCACAGAGUUGAGGUCAGUGUUCAGUAGGUUGCUGUGAGUGUUAUUCUGGAAAAAUUCACAGGACAAUACUGUGUGUGUGAGCCUCAAAGUCAUCCUGGAUGCAAUGUUCAGAAGUUAAAGUACUUCACUUUUCUUUAAAAGGACUGCAGUCCUUAAAGCAAGGUUAUUUAAAAGGAAACUUUUACAUGAAGGUGUCAUUGAUUAAUAAACAGUAAAAUAAAAAAACGAACAGUUCGUGAGAAAUCAUCUGAUACACAUAAAAAUCAACAAAAAGCAGGACCUACUUUACCUGUACUUUACCUGACAGGUUU